UGGGGGCUUCUGUUGAUGGGCGCCCCCUGACCCCUGUGCUGACCGCUAACAGCUUAAACGCUGACUACGAUAGCACGCGCUUAAUCGUUAACUCUGUUUGGAGCCAACGCGUCAGCGUGUGUAAACUCACUGCAUUGGCUUACAUUCUUUUCCUGUUUAACGCACAAGCUUCGGACAAGCGUGGGAAUCUUUACACCGCUGUCUACUUUCUUUAUCGCGCCUCCGUUUUUGAAAUAAGCGCCAUCGUGUUAUGGAGGCGCCGGGAGUUAAACCCGGAUCCAGCAGAUUAUUGCAUUGCCACUUGUUUAUUGUCAUAGCUAAAUUAGC
rnacentral:tmRNA from 1 species